rnacentral:rRNA from 1 species
UUGAACGCUGGCGGAAUGCUUUACACAUGCAAGUCGAGCGGCAGCGCGGGGGCAACCCUGGCGGCGAGCGGCGGACGGGUGAGUAAUGCAUCGGAACAUGUCCAAUCGUGGGGGAUAGCCCGGCGAAAGCCGGAUUAAUACCGCAUACGCCCGAGAGGGGAAAGCGGGGGACCGCAAGGCCUCGCGCGAUUGGGUUGGCCGAUGUCCGAUUAGCUUGUUGGUGAGGUAAAGGCUUACCAAGGCGAUGAUCGGUAGCUGGUCUGAGAGGAUGAUCAGCUACACUGGGACUGAGACACGGCCCAGACUCCUACGGGAGGCAGCAGUGGGGAAUUUUGGACAAUGGGGGAAACCCUGAUCCAGCCAUUCCGCGUGAGUGAAGAAGGCCUUCGGGUUGUAAAGCUCUUUUGUCCGGAGCGAAACGGUGGCGGUGAAUAUCCGCCACUACUGACGGUACCGGAAGAAUAAGCACCGGCUAACUACGU